UCGCGGUGGCGGCGGCGGAAAUGUGUGCUUGAGCUGGUGACCUAGAUCCUGGAGAAAAAUCUUUAAGCUGCACGAAGAGAAACUCCCCUGUUCAAGGUCAGAUGCAUCGUCCAUAAUUCAACAAAAGCGACUUUACAAAAAAGAAAAAAAAAUCAUAAA